rnacentral:rRNA from 1 species
CGCCUGGGGAGUACGGCCGCAAGGUUAAAACUCAAAUGAAUUGACGGGGGCCCGCACAAGCGGUGGAGCAUGUGGUUUAAUUCGACGUAACGCGAAGAACCUUACCUGGCCUUGACAUGCAGAGGACUUUCCAGAGAUGGAUUGGUGCCUUCGGGAACUCUGACACAGGUGCUGCAUGGCCGUCGUCAGCUCGUGUCGUGAGAUGUUGGGUUAAGUCCCGUAACGAGCGCAACCCCUAUCCCUAGUUGCUAGCAGUUCGGCUGAGAACUCUAGGGAGACUGCCGGUGACAAACCGGAGGAAGGUGGGGAUGACGUCAGGUCAUCAUGGCCCUUACGGCCAGGGCUACACACGUGCUACAAUGGUGCGCACAGAGGGCUGCAAACCCGCGAGGGGGAGCCAAUCUCACAAAACGCAUCGUAGUCCGGAUCGCAGUCUGCAACUCGACUGCGUGAAGUCGGAAUCGCUAGUAAUCGUGAAUCAGAAUGUCACGGUGAAUACGUUCCCGGGCCUUGUACACACCGCCCGUCACACCAUGGGAGUGGAUUGCACCAGAAGUGGUUAGUCUAACCUUCGGGAGGACGAUCACCACGGUGUGGUUCAUGACUGGGGUGAAGUCGUAACAAGGUAACCGUA